rnacentral:lncRNA from 1 species
UUUGUAUCAGAUUUGUCGCAAUAUGAAAUUGAUCGAUUAGGAUAUUUUAAGAAUCUUCUUUAUCUUCAUCUCGUACUAUGAUGCUAGUCACAAAGGCGGCGAGCUAGCAGAAUCGUUAGCGUGCCGGACAAAAUGUUAAGCGAUAUUUUUUCCGGUUCUUUACGUUCUGAGUUCAAAUUCUGCCGCGGUUGAUUUUGCCUUUCGGAGUGUCGAUAAAGUGAAUACUUGCUAAGCAUUGGAGUCGAUGUAAUCGACUUUUGUGCCAAAAUUUGAAACCAUUAUCAUGCUAUUCAAAACAGUACUUUUGGAGGAAAACCAACCUUCCCUUUAGUAGGGUUCCAUUCAACAUGAUCAAUAAAAGCGGUUGUUUAACUAUUUUUAUAGUUGUUUGCUAUUUGGCCAAUGUUGGAGUAUUUUCCUUUAAUUAUCGCGAUGGUAAACCACUGUUCCCCUGGUGUCUUGAUUUGUCAAAAUCUUACUGCGGAAUUCAAUGUCUCCAGAGUGGAUUUGCUACAGAUGGACGAACUGGAUGUCCGAUCUGCCGCUGUCGAAAGCGUUGCGAGGUAA